AUUGAACGCUGGCGGAAUGCUUUACACAUGCAAGUCGAACGGCAGCACGGGAGCUUGCUCCUGGUGGUGAGUGGCGAACGGGUGAGUAAUAUAUCGGAACGUAUCCAAUAAUGGGGGAUAACAUAUCGAAAGAUGUGCUAAUACCGCAUACGCCCUGAGGGGGAAAGCGGAGGACCGUAAGGCUUCGCGUUAAUGGAGCGGCCGAUAUCGGAUUAGCUAGUUGGUGGGGUAAAGGCUCACCAAGGCGACGAUCCGUAGCUGGUCUGAGAGGACGACCAGCCACACUGGAACUGAGACACGGUCCAGACUCCUACGGGAGGCAGCAGUGGGGAAUUUUGGACAAUGGGGGCAACCCUGAUCCAGCCAUGCCGCGUGCGGGAAGAAGGCCUUCGGGUUGUAAACCGCUUUUGUCAGGGAAGAAAUCUUGCGGAUUAAUACUCUGCGAGGAUGACGGUACCUGAAGAAUAAGCACCGGCUAACUACGUGCCAGCCGCCGCAGUAAAAC
rnacentral:rRNA from 1 species